AGAAUGAACGCUGGCGGCAGGCCUAACACAUGCAAGUCGAACGGGUCCUUCGGGACUAGUGGCGGACGGGUGAGUAACGCGUGGGAACAUACCCUUUGGUACGGAAUAGCCUCGGGAAACUGAGAGUAAUACCGUAUGUGCCCUUCGGGGGAAAGAUUUAUCGCCAAAGGAUUGGCCCGCGUUGGAUUAGGUAGUUGGUGGGGUAAUGGCCUACCAAGCCGACGAUCCAUGGCUGGUUUGAGAGGAUGAUCAGCCACACUGGGACUGAGACACGGCCCAGACUCCUACGGGAGGCAGCAGUGGGGAAUCUUAGACAAUGGGGGAAACCCUGAUCUAGCCAUGCCGCGUGAUCGAUGAAGGCCUUAGGGUUGUAAGAUCUUUCAGAUGGGAAGAUAAUGACGGUACCAUCAGAAGAAGCCCGCUAACUCCGCGCCAGCAGCCGC
rnacentral:rRNA from 1 species